GACGAACGCUGGCGGCGUGCUUAACACAUGCAAGUCGAACGGAAAGGCCCUGCUUUUGUUGCGUGCUCGAGUGGCGAACGGGUGAGUAACACGUGAGUAACCUGCCCUUGACUUUGGGAUAACUUCAGGAAACUGGGGCUAAUACCGGAUAGAAGCUUCUGCUGCAUGGUGGGGGUUGGAAAGUUUCGGCGGUUGGGGAUGGACUCGCGGCUUAUCAGCUUGUUGGUGGGGUAGUGACUUUCCAAGUCUGUGACGGGUAGCCGGCCUGGGAGGGUGACCGGCCACAUUGGGACUGAGAUACGGACCAGACUCCUACGGGAGGCAGCAGUGGGGAAUAUUGCACAAUGGGCGGAAGCCUGAUGCAGCAACGCCGCGUGCGGGAUGACGGCCUUCGGGUUGUAAACCGCUUUCGCAUGUGACGAAGCGUGAGUGACGGUAAUGGGUAAAGAAGCACCGGCUAACUACGUG
rnacentral:rRNA from 1 species